ACCUGUGAAAAUACAGUUGUGGUCUGUUGCUGUAAACAUCCCCGACUGGAAGCUGUAAAAUAGUUCUCCAGCUUUCAGUCAGAUGUUUGCGACCACCGGCUGCAUCCAGAUUCUUCAAAAUGG
rnacentral:pre_miRNA from 17 species